GUCACGAAUAUUGGUUACAAAAGGUUACAAAAAGGUUACAAAAAGGUUACAAAAAGGUUACACAAGAUACAUAAAAGAGGAAGCAGUUUCUGCUGUUACAUUCAAUAAUCUAAUCUUACAAAAUAUUACAUAUACAUUGUGGUUAGGCAUUUCCUGAUACAUAGAAACUGUCAUAGCUUGUGACUUCCUUUCAGUUAUGUUUUGCAAGCAGUUCUGAAAUACUGACAGAUUAAUUGUUU